UCUAAGGCCGGGCGGGGCUUCCCAGCGACCUUCCAGAUGCAAUGUGGGAAAAAAUGUUGACUCAUCCCUACAGAGGACGUCUGUCUUCCCAGAGAAGCCCGCCCGUGCUCCAUCGCCUAGUUUCUUCUGGGCAUUGGCUAACUUCCCUCAGCCUUGUUUCAGCUAAAGGAGAGCUCACCAAUGAGGAAGAGGACUGAGGACAUGGAGCAAAGGAGGGGGUGCCCCGGAUGGUUCUGUCCUUACUGAGCUCCACUUGCAUGAAGAGUACGAACCUCCCUCUCCUAUGACUAUAUCAACAUGGCUUUCAAGAUCUCCCAGAACCUUGACUGUGUCUAUCUCUUCAAGACCAUAUUCCCUGCCUAGCAGACAGCUUCCCACUCCAGAUUCUCCAAGGCCUGUGUCAUGUCUUGCCUCCUCCACUAAGC